rnacentral:rRNA from 1 species
UACGUAGGUGGCAAGCGUUGUCCGGAUUUACUGGGCGUAAAGCGCGUGUAGGCGGUUGCCCAAGUCGGGUGUGAAAGCCUUGAGCUCAACUCAAGAAAUGCACUCGGUACUGGGUGACUAGAGGACCGGAGAGGAUAGUGGAAUUCCCAGUGUAGUGGUGAAAUACGUAGAGAUUGGGAAGAACACCAGUGGCGAAGGCGGCUAUCUGGACGGUUUCUGACGCUAAGACGCGAAAGCGUGGGGAGCAAACAGG